UAACAUAUGCCCACCUUAAGCCUCAGGGGGCGGAAAAUCCUCGCGUGAGAUCAAAGCGACUUCUUCGAUGCUUUGUGACUCGAAGAUAUAUAAAGACGAAUAGAAGAUUUGCGAAUCACUCAUUCACUGCUCGCCAAGUUGAAAGGAGGACCCAAUCACUAGAGUUCCUAAGUUUUUCAAUUACUAUGACGACUAGAAGAUUUGGCAUCUCCGGCCUGUUAUGCAUUCUUUUCCUGGCUUCGCUUCUCGUGUCAUCGGAGGCAUUUUUUGGUAAUAGAGUUGGUGGUAAAAGAACUGUCAAGCAGCCUCACGGAAUUUCUAGAGAUGCCUGCCAAUUGGCGCUUCAGCACUGUCUUGAUUCUCAGCAGAAGUCACGUGAUGAAGAAAUAACCAAUGAGAAACCAGAGAAGGGGAACCUGGAGUAUUUUCAUCAAUGAUCAUGAAACGGAUUGAUUUCAUCUCGCCGCCGCAUCGUUUUCUAUUGAAGUUACAAAGAUAGUUUGUGUUUAUUUUGUUUUAGUAGCCAGAAGAGUUCGAUUAUUGCGAUCAAACCACUAUAAACUCUAGAACUUUAUAUAUAGUUAUAAAAAUAUCGUCAAAAUAUUGUAAUAUAGCACAAUAAAAUCACAUUCAAAAUA